rnacentral:rRNA from 1 species
UACGAAGGGGGCUAGCGUUGCUCGGAAUCACUGGGCGUAAAGCGCACGUAGGCGGCUUACUAAGUCAGGGGUGAAAUCCUGGAGGCUCAACUCCAGAACUGCCUUUGAUACUGGUGAGCUUGAGUCCGGGAGAGGUGAGUGGAACUGCGAGUGUAGAGGUGAAAUUCGUAGAUAUUCGCAAGAACACCAGUGGCGAAGGCGGCUCACUGGCCCGGUACUGACGCUGAGGUGCGAAAGCGUGGGGAGCAAACAGG